rnacentral:rRNA from 1 species
CCUACGGGAGGCAGCAGUGGGGAAUAUUGGGCAAUGGAGGCAACUCUGACCCAGCAACGCCGCGUGAGUGAUGAAGGUCUUCGGAUUGUAAAACUCUUUAAGUGGGGACGAAGAAAGUGACUGUACCCUCAGAAUAAGCCUCGGCUAACUACGUGCCAGCAGCCGCGGUAAUACGUAGAAGGCAAGCGUUAUCCGGAAGGACUGGGCGUAAAGGGUGCGUAGGUGGUUCGGGAAGUUAGUAGCGUAAUUCCGGGGAUCAACCUCGGAACUACUACUAAAACUGUUGGGCUUGGGUGCAGGAGGGGCAUAUGGAAUUCCUAGUGUAGCGGUGGAAUGCGUAGAGAUUAGGAAGAACACCAGUGGCGAGGGCGAUAUGCUGGACUGUAACUGACACUGAGGCACGAAAGCGUGGGGAGCAAACAGGAUUAGAUACCCGUGUAGUC